GGGAAAGUGGACAUAAGGUCUUCUCCAGAUCAUGAAGCUAUUUGCAUUUGAUACCAGCUGGGAAGAGAGAGAAGUGGGAGAGAACAAGAGAGAGAGCAAGAGAAGUUGGGUACUUGAAUGGAAAAGUAACACACACUCAAGUGGGAAUUAGAAAGAUGGAUCCAUCCAUUGAAGAUUUUGAGGCUGGAUGUGGUGAGGAGAAGAAAAAUCUACAUAUUCCAAAUAUCUCUGCACAUGAAGAGGAAGAGGACAGACCAGAACACACUCUGAACAAUGCAAUUAGAGCCCUGAAGGCAAUUAACUUUGCUAUUUAGUACCAAGUUAAG